ACCUGCGGAGGGAUCAUUACACAAAUAAUAGAAAGGCGGGGCUGGAACCUCUCGGGGUUACAGCCUUGCUGAAUUAUUCACCCUUGUCUUUUGCGUACUUCUUGUUUCCUUGGUGGGUUCGCCCACCACUAGGACAAACAUAAACCUUUUGUAAUUGCAAUCAGCGUCAGUAACAAAUUAAUAAUUACAACUUUCAACAACGGAUCUCUUGGUUCUGGCAUCGAUGAAGAACGCAGCGAAAUGCGAUAAGUAGUGUGAAUUGCAGAAUUCAGUGAAUCAUCGAAUCUUUGAACGCACAUUGCGCCCUUUGGUAUUCCAAAGGGCAUGCCUGUUCGAGCGUCAUUUGUACCCUCAAGCUUUGCUUGGUGUUGGGCGUCUUGUCUCUAGCUUUGCUGGAGACUCGCCUUAAAGUAAUUGGCAGCCGGCCUACUGGUUUCGGAGCGCAGCACAAGUCGCACUCUCUAUCAGCAAAGGUCUAGCAUCCAUUAAGCCUUUUUUUCAACUUUUGACCUCGGAUCAGGUAGGGAUACCC
rnacentral:rRNA from 1 species